rnacentral:rRNA from 1 species
GUUAUAUGGUCAAGUGAAGAAGCGCAUACGGUGGAUGCCUUGGCAGUCAGAGGCGAUGAAAGACGUGGUAGCCUGCGAAAAGCUUCGGGGAGUCGGCAAACAGACUUUGAUCCGGAGAUGUCUGAAUGGGGGAACCCAGCCAUCAUAAGAUGGUUAUCUUGUACUGAAUACAUAGGUGCAAGAGGCGAACCAGGGGAACUGAAACAUCUAAGUACCCUGAGGAAAAGAAAUCAACCGAGAUUCCCUUAGUAGUGGCGAGCGAACGGGGACUAGCCCUUAAGUGGCUUUGAGAUUAGCGGAACGCUCUGGAAAGUGCGGCCAUAGUGGGUGAUAGCCCUGUACGCGAAAGUCUCUUAGUCAUGAAAUCGAGUAGGACGGAGCACGAGAAACUUUGUCUGAAUAUGGGGGGACCAUCCUCCAAGGCUAAAUACUACUGACUGACCGAUAGUGAACUAGUACCGUGAGGGAAAGGCGAAAAGAACCCCGGAGAGGGGAGUGAAAUAGAUCCUGAAACCGUAUGCGUACAAGCAGUGGGAGCAGACUUUGUUCUGUGACUGCGUACCUUUUGUAUAAUGGGUCAGCGACUUAUAUUCAGUGGCGAGCUUAACCGAAUAGGGGAGGCGUAGCGAAAGCGAGUCUUAAUAGGGCGUUUAGUCGCUGGGUAUAGACCCGAAACCGGGCGAUCUAUCCAUGGGCAGGUUGAAGGUUAGGUAACACUGACUGGAGGACCGAACCGACUACCGUUGAAAAGUUAGCGGAUGACCUGUGGAUCGGAGUGAAAGGCUAAUCAAGCUCGGAGAUAGCUGGUUCUCCUCGAAAGCUAUUUAGGUAGCGCCUCAUGUAUCACUGUAGGGGGUAGAGCACUGUUUCGGCUAGGGGGUCAUCCCGACUUACCAAACCGAUGCAAACUCCGAAUACCUACAAGUGCCGAGCAUGGGAGACACACGGCGGGUGCUAACGUCCGUCGUGAAAAGGGAAACAACCCAGACCGUCAGCUAAGGUCCCAAAGUUAUGGUUAAGUGGGAAACGAUGUGGGAAGGCUUAGACAGCUAGGAGGUUGGCUUAGAAGCAGCCACCCUUUAAAGAAAGCGUAAUAGCUCACUAGUCGAGUCGGCCUGCGCGGAAGAUGUAACGGGGCUCAAACCAUACACCGAAGCUACGGGUAUCACGUAAGUGAUGCGGUAGAGGAGCGUUCUGUAAGCCUGUGAAGGUGAGUUGAGAAGCUUGCUGGAGGUAUCAGAAGUGCGAAUGCUGACAUGAGUAACGACAAUGGGUGUGAAAAACACCCACGCCGAAAGACCAAGGUUUCCUGCGCAACGUUAAUCGACGCAGGGUUAGUCGGUCCCUAAGGCGAGGCUGAAAAGCGUAGUCGAUGGAAAACAGGUUAAUAUUCCUGUACUUCUAGUUAUUGCGAUGGAGGGACGGAGAAGGCUAGGCCAGCUUGGCGUUGGUUGUCCAAGUUUAAGGUGGUAGGCUGGAAUCUUAGGUAAAUCCGGGGUUCUAAGGCCGAGAGCUGAUGACGAGUUACCUUUUAGGUGACGAAGUGGUUGAUGCCAUGCUUCCAAGAAAAGCUUCUAAGCUUCAGAUAACUAGGAACCGUACCCCAAACCGACACAGGUGGUUGGGUAGAGAAUACCAAGGCGCUUGAGAGAACUCGGGUGAAGGAACUAGGCAAAAUGGCACCGUAACUUCGGGAGAAGGUGCGCCGGUGAGGGUGAAGGACUUGCUCCGUAAGCCCAUGCCGGUCGAAGAUACCAGGCCGCUGCGACUGUUUAUUAAAAACACAGCACUCUGCAAACACGAAAGUGGACGUAUAGGGUGUGACGCCUGCCCGGUGCCGGAAGGUUAAUUGAUGGGGUUAGCUAACGCGAAGCUCUUGAUCGAAGCCCCGGUAAACGGCGGCCGUAACUAUAACGGUCCUAAGGUAGCGAAAUUCCUUGUCGGGUAAGUUCCGACCUGCACGAAUGGCGUAACGAUGGCGGCGCUGUCUCCACCCGAGACUCAGUGAAAUUGAAAUCGCUGUGAAGAUGCAGUGUAUCCGCGGCUAGACGGAAAGACCCCGUGAACCUUUACUAUAGCUUUGCACUGGACUUUGAAUUUGCUUGUGUAGGAUAGGUGGGAGGCUUUGAAGCGUGGACGCCAGUUCGCGUGGAGCCAUCCUUGAAAUACCACCCUGGCAACUUUGAGGUUCUAACUCAGGUCCGUUAUCCGGAUCGAGGACAGUGUAUGGUGGGUAGUUUGACUGGGGCGGUCUCCUCCUAAAGAGUAACGGAGGAGUAC